rnacentral:lncRNA from 1 species
CGCUAGUACAGAUGUAAAGCCUCAGCAAUUAACCAGCCUUGGGGAGCUGUACCUCCUCAACUCAGUCUUUGUGGCCCAGGUCUGCAUGAAUUUUAGGUAGCUCUGAAAAAGAGCAUGGGAAAAUAGGGAGUAUGUUCAGUCAGGAAUUUAUUUUGGCUGCAGUUGUGAGAACAUGCAAAUGACUCCAAAGUCAUUCAUGUGGAAGGAGCAACAGCAGAUUUCCAGUUUAUUAACCCUGUUGGAAGCUGGGAAGACUACUUUUUCAGACUUUUGAGAAACAGUUUGGAGAGGGUGGUAGUUAAAGACCUUCAAGUGCCUUUCAUAAGUGAUGAUGUGGAAGUUUCAGACAGACAAGUCCUUUUAAUAUCCAAAAGAUAG